AUUGAACGCUGGCGGCAUGCCUUACACAUGCAAGUCGAACGGCAGCACGGGAGCUUGCUCCUGGUGGCGAGUGGCGAACGGGUGAGUAAUACAUCGGAACGUACCCUGAAGUGGGGGGAUAACGUAGCGAAAGUUACGCUAAUACCGCAUAUUCUGUGAGCAGGAAAGAGGGGGGAUCGCGAGACCUCUUGCUUUAGGAGCGGCCGAUGUCGGAUUAGCUAGUUGGUGAGGUAAAGGCUCACCAAGGCGACGAUCCGUAGCGGGUCUGAGAGGAUGAUCCGCCACACUGGGACUGAGACACGGCCCAGACUCCUACGGGAGGCAGCAGUGGGGAAUUUUGGACAAUGGGCGCAAGCCUGAUCCAGCCAUGCCGCGUGAGUGAAGAAGG
rnacentral:rRNA from 1 species